rnacentral:rRNA from 1 species
UACAGAGGUCUCAAGCGUUGUUCGGAUUCAUUGGGCGUAAAGGGUGCGUAGGCGGCGCGGUAAGUCGGGUGUGAAAUCUUGGAGCUUAACUCCGAAACUGCAUUCGAUACUGCCGUGCUUGAGGACUGGAGAGGAGACUGGAAUUUACGGUGUAGCGGUGAAAUGCGUAGAUAUCGUAAGGAAGACCGUGGCGUGAAGGCGGGUCUCUGGACA